CCUACGGGUGGCAGCAGUGGGGAAUAUUGCACAAUGGGGGAAACCCUGAUGCAGCGACGCCGCGUGAGUGAAGAAGUAUUUCGGUGUGUAAAGCUCUGUCAGCAGGGGAGAAAAUGACGGUACCUGACCAAGAAGCCCCGGCUAACUACGUGCCAGCAGCCGCGGUAAUACGUAGGGGGCACGCGUUAUCCGGAUUUACUGGGUGUAAAGGGAGCGUAGACGGCAGGGCAAGUCUGGAGUGAAAGGCGGGGGCUCAACCCCCGGACUGCGCUGGAAACUGCCAGGCUGGAGUGCAGGAGAGGUAAGCGGAAUUCCUAGUGUAGCGGUGAAAUGCGUAGAUAUUACGAGGAACACCAGUGGCGAAGGCGGCUUACUGGACUGUAACUGACGUUGAGGCUCGAAAGCGUGGGGAGCAAACAGGAUUAGAUACCCUGGUAGUC
rnacentral:rRNA from 1 species